CCCCCGCCAGGGUAAUACGAGCACGAGCUUAAAACCCAAAGGACUUGGCGGUGCUUUAGACCCCCCUAGAGGAGCCUGUCCUAGAACCGAUAAACCCCGUUCAACCUCACCCCUCCUUGUUUUUACCGCCUAUAUACCGCCGUCGUCAGCUUACCCCAUGAGGGUAUAAUAGUGAGCACAAUCGGCACAGCCCAAAACGUCAGGUCGAGGUGUAGCGCAUGGAGGGGGAAGAGAUGGGCUACAUUCCCUGCUGAAGGGAAUACGGAUGAUAAACUGAAACGUUUAUACUGAAGGAGGAUUUAGCAGUAA
rnacentral:rRNA from 1 species